rnacentral:rRNA from 1 species
GACGAACGCUGGCGGCGUGCUUAACACAUGCAAGUCGAACGGAAAGGCCCUGCUUUUGUGGGGUGCUCGAGUGGCGAACGGGUGAGUAACACGUGAGUAACCUGCCCUUGACUUUGGGAUAACUUCAGGAAACUGGGGCUAAUACCGGAUAGGAGCUCCUGCUGCAUGGUGGGGGUUGGAAAGUUUCGGCGGUUGGGGAUGGACUCGCGGCUUAUCAGCUUGUUGGUGGGGUAGGGGCUUACCAAGGCUUUGACGAGUAGCCGGCCUGAGAGGGUGACCGGCCACAUUGGGACUGAGAUACGGCCCAGACUCCUACGGGAGGCAGCAGUGGGGAAUAUUGCACAAUGGGCGGAAGCCUGAUGCAGCAACGCCGCGUGCGGGAUGACGGCCUUCGGGUUGUAAACCGCUUUCGCCUGUGACGAAGCGUGAGUGACGGUAAUGGGUAAAGAAGCACCGGCUAACUACGUG